rnacentral:rRNA from 1 species
GGCUUUUGCUGGCCGCUGUCUUCUUAGAGGGACUAACAGCGUUUAGCUGUUGGAAGUUUGAGGCAAUAACAGGUCUGUGAUGCCCUUAGAUGUUCUGGGCCGCACGCGCGCUACACUGACAGAGCCAACGAGUUCUUCACCUUGNUCGAAAGAAUUGGGUAAUCUUGUUAAACUCUGUCGUGCUGGGGAUAAAGCAUUGCAAUUAUUGCUUUUCAACGAGGAAUGCCUAGUAAGCGCGUGUCAUCAGCAUGCGUUGAUUACGUCCCUGACCUUUGUACACACCGCCCGUCGCU